ensembl:lncRNA
ACCCAUUCAGCAUGGCUUAGUCAGCUAGGGCUCUUCAGGCCUGUGGGUCCACGGCUCAGAUGAACCACCUGGAUACGUUCCCGUGUGGAGCAUCCCCACCGGCUGAAAUGUGAUGAGUUACUGUUGCUACACAGGUGGCGACAGUCAGUUCCCACUUGUUCGUGCUGCUGAUGGGAACUGGGGCCUGUACAGGAACCACGGCUCCCACGUGUCUCUCAUUCCAGGACACUCUGGUCUCACCGAGCGAGGCUUCAGAGUUCUCGCGGUAUCUCGCUUUAAGGUGACUAGCCGCCUUAGUUCAGAACGGUGCCGUCCUGCGCAUUUGCAGAUGCUUCGUUUCACCCAAGAGCCUGCAAUGGUGACCUGGCCUCUUCUGACUCAGGUCCUGUCAGGGUACAAGGUCCAGGCUGGCCUAUAUUCCCCCUUGUUCCAGAGGGCUGUGAGGAACCCGGACGCACAGUUCACUCUCCCGCACCUGACCCAGCAGCCAGGACCUUCAGCAAGCAGGCCUCCCGGGUACCUCUUAUCGGAGGAGAGCUCCGCCCCACCCAGCUGUGCCAAGAUUUUCAAGUUUCCCCUGGAUCUGCCAGGGGAAACUUUUGGGAGGAAUAGACUGCACUGGUUAGGUUCCAGCUUGGAAUUAGACGCCCAGGUUCCCCAAGAGCCCGUGUCAGUGAUCCUGCCUCUCACCACCUUUGAACUCUUCCAGAUGCCUGGCUACGUUGAACGCGCAGCGCAUAGCAUGUGCAUGCGCAGUACGAGCCCACUCAGGAGGCCUUGGGCAGCUGGGGCCCUCCAGGCUUAUGGGGCCAUGGACGGACCUCACCAUCGGGAUGUUCUCCUGGGUGGAGGAGAACCCUCUGCAGUACUCUCUGGUUCUGCGGCUGCAGAGGCAUACCUGCGUGGCGUGGCGUGCCCCCUCUUCUUGGGAACUGAGGGCAUCAUCUAAUCAGUUGAAGGCCUUCAUAGAAAAAGACUGACUUCUCUGGAAGAAGAGGGGAUUCUGCGGGCAGACCAGCCUUGGACUCAAACUGCAUCUCUUUCCUGGGUCUCGACGCUGCAGAAUCACUUGAGCCAAUAUUUAAAAUAAAUCUCUCUCUCUCUCUCUCUAUCUCUCUCUGCCUCCCCCUCCCUCUCUCUCUGUGUGUAUAUAUAGUCUUGAAAAAUACUUUGUGCCCUGAUGGUUUCUUUUUCUUAUUUUGCAUAAUCCAGAUUUGUUUGUUUGUUUUUGUGCUUGGCAUAUUUAUCUUAUUGUAAAUAUAUAUCAUGUUGUGGGGGUGUGUUUUUCAAAAUCAGAAAAUGUGAUAUGAAAUUUGAACAUUAUAAAAUCAGACUGUGCUAGGUACAUUUAUUUUUUUAUGCCAAUCCUUAAAACAAUCCUGUGUGACAAAUGAUAUAUUCCUUCAAUGAAGAAGAAACUUCAGCACAGAACAUUUAAAUGCCAUUUCAAACUUCCAAAAUGUGCAGAUCAUGGAGCUGUGAUGGAAACCCAGAUCCAGCUGACUCCAAGUGACCCCCCCCGUACCCCCACCACCAGAUAAUGCACCCUCUACAAAGAAGAAAAGCUUAAAUAACCCAAUAUAACACAAACUCUGAAGGCCUCCACUAGACCCAUUUCAGAAGAGAAAUCUCUUAUGACUCAAUUUAACAUUUUGUUUGGAUGUGACAAUAUCUAAAGGAAGCAGAAUGUCUUUGUCAGCAUUCUUUCUUACAAAUAGGAAAAACCCAGCACAGAUUAGACCAAAAGAUGACAGUCUCAUGGCUGUCUAAUCCUCAGGACAGAAGUCC